CCUCUCAUGGCGUAGUUUUAACGCGCCCCAACUAGAGAUCGGGGAGUCGUGAGUUCGAUUCUCACUGAGAAGA
rnacentral:tRNA from 1 species